ACGCUCACACGGUGGAGCCGCGGUUCCAGCAGGUGUACGACGGUGACGCGACCUGAGGAGAAGGGGGCGUGUUUUCUGUCAAAACACACGCAGCCAAAACCCCAACGUAGCAGUCAAAAAGUAAAUUAAAAGGCUAAUUAUAGAGCAUGAAGUUCCCAAAGUGAAGAGCUGGAUUAUAUAUAUUUUUUGCAUUGUUGUCGCCGAGGAACGGGGAGGAGAAGGAGAGCAGCUAGCAAGAAGAACGCAACAAGCAGCCAAACAAAGGCGCGGCGGAGAGGAGAUGGGUCACAGAAAAGACACUGCGGGAUAACAGACAGAUCAGCCAUCUCUGAUUAUGGGGUGCCAGUUACUUGAGCAACUGGAACAUCUCGGCCGCUGACGAACGUUGGUGUGUGUUUUGUGUGAGUCUGACCCCAGAAUGACACACACACACAGGAGAAGGCUCGACGACCACAGACUCGAAACGAAGAGACCAUUUGCUGCGAGUUCCAGACGCCAAAAUGUGUCUCUGUUCGUUUCAGACACACUGCUCUGCCAUUGCAUCGAGCAUUAAGGUAACAUGCACCACAGCCUUCUGCAAAUGCUCUGUGACAAAACACAUUUGAAUUUUUUACUUGUGAAGCUGUGUACGUAUCUGAGAUUAGCCACAAGCAAACUACACUGACACUGCUCAGUUCAGAGCAAUGCUGCCUCCUGGGAUGAACUGUUGAGCUGUUGUUGUGUUUCAAAAGAUGUUUUCUUUUUUUCCUUAUCCAAAACAAGAAGGCAACCCAGGCCCUUCAAGUAAAAGAAAAUGGAACAGGAAAGGAAAUGUUUAAAAGCCUUUUUGUAUAAUGGGUAGAUCAAUAAAAGACAAACCACUGGAAAAGCCAACAUGUUUUUAGUCAAGGCUCUAAUCUGCAUGGUGUGGAUACACCAAUGGCUCCGUAACAUAACAGGUUGAAAAGAAUGAAACAAAAAAAUAAACUAAGAUGGAAUGACACAGGGAAAGAAAAUUUUACAUAUACACUAAAUGCUGAAAGUAGACAUCCAGGGGAUAACACAGCGGGUUGUGAAUAAAGACGGGAUCUUAUACAGAAACAUGUCAAAUAUGUAUAUUCACUGAGACCAAGAUAUUUUGAUGCAUCCACUCUUAAAUCCCAAAAAUGAAUCAGACCAAAUGACUUCCUCCUAUUGGCUGCUACAAUAGGUGUAGCCACACCGUGUUGUUUUCUUGUUUGGAGCCCCGAUGAAGACCUAGUGGUUGAAAGAUAUUUACUCUUUAAAUGAUUUGCUUUUUUAAAUGACUUUUACAUAUUCCCUUCCUGGUUUAAAAGUGCUUGAGUGCCUGCAUGGCAUUGUUUUCUAUUUUUCAGGUACGAGAUAUUUUUCUUUUCUACGCAGACGACUCAGUUUGAACCUUUGAAGUUUAAGCUACUUUAUUUUUGUCAGCGCCACCGACCGAUUCACUUUGAUGUCGUGCUAACAAAAACAGUCACUUCAAAGUAGUAAACUGCUGUAAAUGAAAUGCGACAAGCUUUGCAUAAAACAUGCAUUUUAGAUGAACGAGAUGGAUAUACCUUGAAAUAACAUCAUGGAAAAAAAACCAGCAUUAAAUUGUAUGUAAGCAGACGCAUGAUCUAACCGGAAGUCAUUGUAAAUACACAAUGUGAGUUGGUCUAUAAAGAUUGACUAUAACACCGAAUAUUUUGCAUGAAUACAGCCUCUGUGACACUUCUGCAAAUUAGAUACGAAAUCAGAAAAAUAACAGUUGCUGGGGGAGACGAAAGCCAAGUGUCGUGUUUGAGAGAAAUCAAUCCCUGUGGAGAAUCCUUGUGUGAUGUUCAGUUUGUUUGACCUUGUGCUGUGAGCCCUCCUUUAAAAACUGCCUCUGCUGACUCUGAGUCAGACAGCGGAGAUUGAUGAGUCACAGAUGAGCAGAUUAAGGCUUCUUCUCCUCUAGCUGAAGUCCACCUUGUUCCUCCUCCUCCUCCUCCUCUCCUCCUACAUCUCUAAAACCAAUCCCCUCGUACACUCUCCCCUCGCUGAACUUCCAGUGCUGUUCAGCAAAUCUCACACUCUCUCCGCUAAUCCUCCACCUCCACUUUCUCAAAACAUGAUCCCUGGUCCUCCUAUUUCUCAUCCUCAACUCGCUCUCUUCUUAUCUGCUUUACCUUGCUCCUCGUAGCUCCCAUAAUUGUUGUUUGUGAAUGAUUAUGCGCUAGCUGCAAGCGAUCACUUGAAAGGUCACCGCAUCAUUCUCAGACAGAAAGCAGAGCACGCAAGAACUGUUAUUGUCGAGUGCAGCUGCAACUAGCUAUUAUUUUGUGGGUUGAUUAAUCUGUGAUGUCUAGUAUAGGAUUGAUCAAGUAAAUUAAAAAAAAUCAAAAUCACAGUCUUUGAACUACAUCCUCCGUCCUUCGUCCUUAGACCCUCAAAUCGAGCCAGGAUAAACUGAAUGGUAGAAAAGUUAAAUAUGUCUGCAAAUAAUAAAACUGUCCAUCACAAUCCCCCAGAAAGCAAGGUCAUGUCUUCAAAUCGCUUUUUUUGUGUGCCUAAUGGUCCAUUAGACACACAGACAUGAAGGGAGACAUUCACUGUACAAAGAUAUUAGAUGAAAAAGAAGCAGAUCUUCUUAAUUGAUAAGUUGGAAUCUUAAUAUUUGUUCUACGUGUCACAAUUCAAUGUCACAGAUAACCGCUGCACACAGUCCUUUCUGAAAUAAUGUCCCAUAGUAGACAGACGACCAGAGAUUUUACCACAUUUUGCUCGGGACUGUCAGCUGUCAUCUCCAAAAUCGCAAAAUGUGAACUCGACAUCUCAGCAAAUUAUAAAGCAUAUUACAUCAGACUCCUCUCCCAUUUUGCAUUUGCAUCUUUUAUACCAGAUCCACAUCUAAGGGCUGUGUAUCAAACCUUAAUACAGUGAGUCAGUUGUCUGCUGUUGCUGAAAGCUUGCUUACACUUCUUUACUUUUUCUUUGAUCAGACAAUUUUUUCCAUUUAAACCAUAAUCCUGCCCAUUUAGAAUUUUCUGUCAGCUAGAUAAUCAUACAGCCACUGGUGUUUGGAGGACAUUUAACAUUUUAGAAAUGUAAAAUGAAAGCCUACUUUUCGAAUUCCAAGCAAUACUACAUCUAACUAUUAAGACAGCAGUGACGGUAAUCUAAAUAUUGACUCCUGGCUGCCUGUGUGUUUAUGUAGUUUCUGUAGUUUUUCUCAUCAGUUGGCCAUUCACCUGACCUCAUAAUGAUGACAGGCUGGUGUCAAAGCUAAAAGAGAUGAUCUGUGCCGUUGUCAGCCUGCCCCAGUGACUUCCUGUGGCCUCCAUUGCACUCAUCCUCCCCUUUAUUUCCUCUCUGUCUUGCUCUUGCUCUAUUUGUACAUCUCCCUCUAUGCUCUGGUAGCAGGAAUACUGCCCCGUAUCCAUAUCAUUCUCUCUCUCUGCCGAGACACACUGUCACAGGCCCAUAACGAUGCUGACAUUUAACACAAUAAGGAGUGUUAUUCCAGCAGCAGUGCACAAGGUCAACUCAUUAGAGGGCAUAAUUGAUGUUGGGUGCAUAUUCCAACCUGCCGCUAAUAGAGAUCUGGGUCAGCUGGCGUAGACUGCAAUUUAACAACAAUAAGGACCAGACACAAAUGAGGGACCUCGAACGUCAUUCAUUGUCAGCGUGGAUACUUCACACUCAGGCAAACAAUUUGUUUUGUUUUGACAUAUCAAUGAGAAAAACAUCAUUCCAGUGGCAUGUGUGGCAACCAGAGAAUGCACAAACAUAUAAGACAACAGAAUACUCUCACUUGUUGAUUGCAGAUACAGUAUUUUCAAAAUAAAGUCACACCCUUCACAGUGACAAUUAUCACAUGGACGAAAUAAGAUGAUAGCAUAAUGUGGACAGUGACAAAGUCUCUGAGGCCCAAUUCAGCAGCAUCCGUAUUCAUAGCAGAUACGAGUCCCUGACCUAAUGUGCUUCUCCUCCACUCCCCUCUCAUUCAUCCAUCUCGCCUCUUUACCCAGCCUCCCACUCCUUCCCACACUCAGCUGCUCAUCGACUGCCAUGCUAACUCAGCCCAUCGUCUCUGCGCCUCUCCUUGUUUCAGCCCAUCCAGCCCGA